UCGCGACUGGGCGUCCGCGCCGGCCGGGCGGCAGCCACCCCUGCCUCGCGCCGGCGCCCACGACCGCCCUCCCUCCUCGCCGUCCGCGCUGCGCCCCUGGCGCGCCCCUCCCGGGCCUCUUCCCUCCUCUCCCCUCGGCCGCGGGCCCCUUCCUCCCGCCCUUUCCCCCCAGCCUCUCGGUCACUCGCUGGUGCCCUUGGGCGCGCGGAGCGGAGACGGCGCGAUUCCCGGGUCGCCGGGCUCCGGGGCUCCCCGGCUCCCGGCUCCGGCCGCCAGAGAGCAGCAAGCGCCUGGGAUCUGCGGACUGCGGACUGGACCGCGCAAUACCGCGGCUGUUGCCUCCUGGGACUGCCUGGAGGGAUCUGCCGCACCUCCUUACUCCUCCCAAGCCACUGGCCAGGCGAGGGUCUCCAACGCCUCUGUGCAGCGCGGGGAGUGCAGAGAGUCCCGGGAGGAACCAGAUGCCAGUGCUGCUCUGUGACGGGAAAAGGAACAAGAGACUAUCUGGUUAUGGAUCUGGGAUCCUGCCCACCAGUCAUCGGUUUGCAUGUACCAACUUCUGCAUUGUUACUUUACUCCAUAUCAGAUGUGGAAUGAAACUUCCUUGAUGACCUCUCCUCACCACACUAAUUUCCAGUAAGCCACUGGGGUCAGGACUAGUUCCCAGUAUUGGAUGAUGUGGAGAGCAGCCUGAGAGCCUUUCAGUUCUUUCUUCAGCACCAAGGCAAGUUAAUGGGCAACAUUUGGCCAUUGGUCACUGGAGGGCCAGCUGAAGAGUAGGCGGCCCCAGCGCUGUCAUGAGAGGUCCCAAUAUCACUCCCCUUUUCCUCUCUGACCAAAAUAAUAAUUUAUUUCUUCUCUGCCUUAGACCUGGGAGUGGAGAACACUGCUGAGGUAGUGGACAGAUGACCCACGAAGUCCCCAAGACUCGAGUCUGAUGAAGAGAACAAAACAUCCCGGCAUUAUGUAAGAGAACUCUACGGCUGCCCCAAGUGGGAGCCCCUUGACAUCCACAUCCAUCUUGUCAUCCCUGGAGCAUGGUGAAAUGAAGGGGGCUCUAGGCCCCCAGGGCUCUUUCCCAGCUUUGAAUUCCUCCACAGCCAUGGUUGUGGAGGUGUGGUAUGUGUCAAUGUUCCCUGCCACUAUAGAGCCCCUUGUGCCUAUUUCCUCUCCUGGCUGGGUGAACAAGACCAGGAAGACCACAGUACAAGGCCAGUAGAGGGGAAAGGAGAUCCCAGGGCUCAGUGUUAUACACUUUGAGUGGACAUCUAGGGGCUUUGUCUAUACACACAGGAGGAAGUUUCCCUUGGGUUGGGCUCCCCUGGAAAGAGACCGGAGGCAAGGAUUAGGGUGUGAAUAAUUUAUUUGGGAGGUAAAGGAAACUCUGAUAGGAAAAGGAAGAUAGCCAAUGAAGAAUAUGCCACUGAAUCAGUUCCCAAUCGGGCAAUCACAGCUCAGUCCCCCUGGAGAAUUCUGGGAGAUGGUGCACUUUGGAGCCUUCUCACCUGAGUGAGGAGGGAGCUGGGCUAUUUGUCUACCACUCUUGUCCAUUAUGCAUAGAGGGCUGCUGCUGGGAUAAUUCAAGCAUUUCAGAUUGUUCCUAGGUGUGGGCUGAGUGGGCUCCCACAGUCAGAAAAGCCCACAGUCAAUGAGUGGCAGAUGUUCCUGAGGAGCACCUUUCAACGUGGAGAAGUGACUAUGAAAGAGGCAUGAGCGGGGAUGGACAGAUAGCUCCAUUGCUCAAGCUCAUCCUUCAGCAUGCUAUCCCUUUCUGUGACUUGUUCCUCCAUUCUCUCAGUCCCUCUAUGUCUGGACCUCACUCCCCUUAGGGAUCUUUCUCCUCCCCCACUCCCAGUCACCAAUCACCUUCUCUGGUCCUCCCUGGGUUUUCCCCCACCAACUCUCUGGGUCCCUCCUCUCCUGCUUUCAUGGCAGAGCCUAGACCCAGGAGGCCUGCGCCUCAGACCAUAGCCAAUCUUCUUUAUGAACAAGUUCUUUCCUACCCAGACUGAUUUAGACUGCUCAUCCACCUUUCAUGGCUCCCUAUUUUCUUCAGGACAGAACUUACUUCUCUUAUUCUGGCACUUUCAUCUUAAGUCUAACUUCUCUCUUUAGAUUUAUUUUCAGAACUCAUUUAUAUCCUAUUUCAAAUGGUGUGUCCUGAGCCUUAAAUUUGUAGUUAGCUGACUGUGUUUUUCCACAUCCCACCAGAGAUAACCUUUCCUUCCUUCUCUACCUAAACAAUACUCCAUUCUUCAGAGGCCUAUGGAAUCAGAAAUCACAGGAGCCCACACUAAGUCCUCACUUACCUCACUUACACAGGUAAAGGCAGAACCCAAGAGAAGGUGAGGUAGAGGGAGAGAGAGAGAGGGAGAGAGAGAACACAUCAAAGACAAAUGAGCACUUCACUGAGAUGCAUAGAUUUCCCCGGGACCUGCCGGUCAGCCUUGUCUGGCUGGACACAUCAACAUGAUAGCAGAGAGCCUCAGCCAGAUUAGAAAACAAACUUUUCAUUAGAGAGCACCAUUCUGGUCAUUGUCCUAUAAGCAAAAAUGAAGCUGGAAAUUAGAGGGAUGCAACAAAGUAGGCAAUUUUUGAAAGACGACCAAUAAUCCCUAUUUGACUCCACAUCGAGAUGAACUAUUAAUGCUACUAAAUUGUACACUUAAAAAUGGUACAUUUUAUGCUAGGUAUAUUUUUACCACAAUUAAGGGAUGCAAAAAAGGAAAAGAAAAAUAAAGAAAAGAAAGGAAAUACCCA
rnacentral:lncRNA from 12 species